ensembl:snRNA U6 U6 spliceosomal RNA
GUGCUCACUGUAACAGCACACAUACUAAAUCAGAACAAUACAGAGAUGGUUAGUGUGGCCCCUGUACAAGGAUGACACUCAAAUUUGUGGAGCACCCCACAUAUAU